AUUGAACGCUGGCGGCAUGCCUUACACAUGCAAGUCGAACGGCAGCACGGGAGCUUGCUCCUGGUGGCGAGUGGCGAACGGGUGAGUAAUAUAUCGGAACGUGCCCAGUUGUGGGGGAGUAACUACUCGAAAGAGUGGCUAAUACCGCAUGAGACCUGAGGGUGAAAGCGGGGGAGUCGCAAGACCUCGCGCAAUUGGAGCGGCCGAUAUCAGAUUAGCUAGUUGGCGGGGUAAAAGACCCACCAAGGCGACGAUCUGUAGCUGGUCUGAGAGGACGACCAGCCACACUGGGACUGAGACACGGCCCAGACUCCUACGGGAGGCAGCAGUGGGGGAAUUUUUGGACAAUGGACGCAAGUCUGAUCCAGCCAUGCCGCGUGCGGGAAGAAGGCCUCGGUUGUAACG
rnacentral:rRNA from 1 species